rnacentral:rRNA from 1 species
GAUGAACGCUGGCGGCAUGCCUUACACAUGCAAGUCGAACGGUAACAGGUCUUCGGAUGCUGACGAGUGGCGAACGGGUGAGUAAUACAUCGGAACGUGCCCAGUCGUGGGGGAUAACGAAGCGAAAGCUUUGCUAAUACCGCAUACGAUCUACGGAUGAAAGCGGGGGAUCGCAAGACCUCGCGCGAUUGGAGCGGCCGGUGGCAGAUUAGGGAGUUGGUUGGGUAAAGGCUUACCAAGCCUACGAUCUGUAGCUGGUCUGAGAUGUCGACCAGCCACACUGGGACUGAGACACGGCCCAGACUCCUACGGGAGGCAGCAGUGGGGAAUUUUAGACAAUGGGCGCAAGCCUGAUCCAGCAAUGCCGCGUGCAGGAUGAAGGCCUUCGGGUUGUAAACUGCUUUUGUACGGAACGAAAAGCUCUGGGUUAAUACCCUGGGGUCAUGACGGUACCGUAAGAAUAAGCACCGGCUAACUACGUGCCAGCCGCCGCGGUAA